UGUUGUCUUGUUAAUGGAAUGAUGGGAAUUUAAACCUCUUCCAGAGUAUCAAUUGGAGGGCAAGUCUGGUGCCAGCAGCCGCGGUAAUUCCAGCUCCAAUAGCGUAUAUUAAAAUUGUUGCAGUUAAAAAGCUCGUAGUUGAAUUUCUGCUGCAUUGCAUCUUCUUUUUGAUGAGUUGGUGUAUUGUGGCUUAUUUCGGGUGAUACUUGUAUUAUCCGGAUGAUUACUUUGAGAAAAUUAGAGUGCUCAAAGCAGGCUUUUGCCUUGAAUAGUUUAGCAUGGAAUAAUAAAGUAGGACUUUGGUUCUAUUUUGUUGGUUUUAGGUACCAAAGUAAUGGUUAAUAGGAACAGUUGGGGGCAUUCGUAUUUAACUGUCAGAGGUGAAAUUCUUAGAUUUGUUAAAGACGAACUACUGCGAAAGCAUUUGCCAAGGAUGUUUUCAUUAAUCAAGAACGAAAGUUAGGGGAUCGAAGACGAUCAGAUACCGUCGUAGUCCUACC
rnacentral:rRNA from 1 species